GCAGAGUCUACGACCCCAUCGGUCGAGCAACAGGGCGAGCAAUAACCCAGCUGGAAGUUCUGUGGCACAGGCGAUCGAGAACGACACGAACACCGAGCUCUGGAUAAAUUUUAACGAAUACACGUGGCCGUCGAACGAGAUCACGGUGAAACACCUACAAGACAGUAUCGGUUAUUUAUCAAGGUUUUCUCGCAACAUGAACUCGUAUCUUAUACUUGCCAGAAUGCAACUAGAAGAAUAGUGUUUCUCGCCAACCGUGGCGUUUUGAACAGAUCGAGCAGCGUCGCUGAUUCUUGAAUUUUGUCCGAUGCCUCCAUGUUACUCUGCAGGAAUUUAUUUCGAGAAUAAUUAACGAAAGAUAUAAUACGAGUCGUGCCUUUAGCCCUUACACAGUUCAAAAUUCAUAACACACUAAAAAAAAUUUAUUUUCAUUUUAUUCGUCAUUAAUAGAUAGCACGAAUAGUGGCAAGUUCUAAGUUUCUCGACAACCUUGUCCAUCAUCCCAUUGGAAACGUACCACCUUGAACAGAGCAAAUACGAGUGAUAUGGAUCGAUAAGUAAAUUUGCAUAAAUCUCAAAGCGCAAGUUGAGAAUUCGAAUAAUCGAACGAUUACGAGUUUACUUACCGGGCGCUCUCAGGAAGAAUCCACGGUGUGAUAGCAACGGAUAACAGCGGUAUGGCAGUAACUAAUGGAACAUGGAAGAUUUAUCGAGUGAAACCGGUUAUUAUUAAUAUGGAGCAAUUGAUGACGAGCCGAAUGAACGAUAUCAUCAACUUAAUUGUAGGAUAAUUUUAUCGAACGCCAGUCCGGUGAGGAACCUACAGACGGCGAAUGACCAAAAACUAUUUGCACUGGCAGUGAAAAUGGAG
rnacentral:lncRNA from 1 species